GGCUGGGACGGGCGCUGCGCGGCGCUGGCCUCCCGGGUGCCGCUCACCGCAGUCCGUGUCUUGGCGCCAGCCGGCGCGAGGCUGCGGCGGAACCGGGCUAGGGUCCCGGGCGAUGGGCAGGGAGGGCGAAAGACCAGGGGGCGGCGCCGCGCCGGAGCGGUGGUUGGCGACCGUGGGCGGAGAGCGCCCCGCGGAGCCGGCCUUCCCCGCUCCACUCGGGGUGGGGCUCGGUGCUCGUCCUCAUUCGAGGUCCGUUAGGACCCCGCUGUCCGGCACUGAGAGCUCCGUGGUUCAGGUAUUGGGAAAGCAGGCACGGAAGGCUGUCUGCCGCCGCGUCUAGCAGACCCGUCUGGAUGACACCCUGCGGAGCUGCCAUGGCCGGUUUCUAGCAGUGAGAAAGGGCAGUGGUGCUGCUGCCUCACUGGGGUUGUUGCCCUGUCACCUUGCAGCAGGAUGUUGAGUAGAACCCACGAGCGGUGGCUUUGGCCCUUGUCUGCCUGCUAGUGAAGCUCUUGGACCGGAAGCCGGCGUAGUGGUCCCUGCCAAGGAGCGGCAGCAAAGUGAUGGCCACGUUGUGGCCCGCACUGGCCAGCCGACACGUGGGGCUCCCAGCAGGCAUGGUGUGCACAGAGGGCAACCCGUCAUCCAGGCGCCCUGCCUGGGUACUCGCCGGGAUGCCCACAGCAGAAGCAUCUGAUGACCUUAACCUCCCAAUUUCUGACCCGUCUCCCCCCAAAUUGAGGUAAAGCAGACUUGAAUGAAAGUUGAUACUCAGGAAUUGACUAAUAGGGUUGGUACGUUUCCAAACUUUCAUUAGCAUAAAUUUGGACCAACAGCAGUGAAGCAAGUGCUAGGUAAACCCCUAGACUCUACACUUGGAUGGAGAACACCUGCUAUCCGGUGCCCUCUUGCAUUACAAGAGUUGAGUUCCUGUUUCUAAUUUUUUUUUUAACUUUUCAAAGUUGUUUUUUAUUCAAUUAUUUUACACUAAUUUGUUAUACACGGUGGCAGAAUGCAAUUCGUUUCAUAUUACACAUAUAGAGCACAAUUUUUCAAGUCACUGAUUGUAUACAAAGUAUUUUCACAUCAUUCGUGUCUUCCUACAUGUACUUACCUAUUUCUAAUCUUAAUAAACCCUGUUCUUUUUUUUUGUUUUUUUAA